UGAAUACGAGACGCUAAGGCGUCGAAGUAGUGUAUGUCAUACUUCCAAGAAAAGCUUGCACUGUCAUAAGUAAAAAAUGCCUGUACCAUAACCGACACAGGUGGGUAGGUAGAGUAUACUAAGGGGCGCGAGAUAACUCUCUCUAAGGAACUCGGCAAAAUAACUCCGUAACUUCGGGAUAAGGAGUACCUUAUUCUAUAAGGUUGCAAUAACAAGAUCCAAGCAACUGUUUAUCAAAAACACAGGUCUCCGCUAAGUCGUAAGACGAUGUAUGGGGGCUGACGCCUGCCCAGUGCCAGAAGGUUAAAGAAGUCGGUUAGCAUUAGCGAAGCUGGUAACUGAAGCCCUGGUGAACGGCGGCCGUAACAAUAACGGUCCUAAGGUAGCGAAAUUCCUUGUCGGGUAAGUUCCGACCCGCACGAAAGGCGUAAUGAUUUGGAUACUGUCUCGGAGAGGGGCUCGGUGAAAUAGACUUGUCUGUGAAGAUGCGGACUACCUGCACCAGGACAGAAAGACCCUAUGAAGCUUUACUGUAACUUGAAAUUGAAAUUGGACUUUAUUCGCGCAGUAUAGGUGGGAGGUGUUGAUUAUAAUCUUGCGGGAUUAUUGGAGCCAUCAGUGAGAUACCACUCUUGUAAUGUUAGAUUUCUAACUUUGAAUCAUUAUCUGGUCAAAGGACAGUUUCAGGCGGGCAGUUUGACUGGGGCGGUCGCCUCCCAAACGGUAACGGAGGCGUACAAAGGUUUCCUCUGAACGGGUAGAAAUCGUAUCUAGAGUGUAAAGGCAUAAGGAAGCUUGACUGUGAGACCUACAAGUCGAACAGGGACGAAAGUCGGUCUUAGUGAUCUGACGGUACUGAGUGGAAAGGCCGUCACUCAACGGAUAAAAGUUACUCUAAGGAUAACAGGCUGAUCUCCCCCAAGAGUUCACAUCGACGGGGAGGUUUGGCACCUCGAUGUCGGCUCAUCGCAUCCUGGGGCGGUAGUACGUCCCAAGGGUUGGGCUGUUCGCCCAUGAAAGCGGUACGCGAGCUGGGUUCAGAACGUCGUGAGACAGUUCGGUCCAUAUCCGGUGUAGGCGUUAGAAUAUUGAGAGGAGCCUUCUUUAGUACGAGAGGACCGAGAAGGACAUACCUCUGGUGUACCAGUUAUCGUGCCAACGGUAAACGCUGGGUAGCUAUGUAUGGUGUGGAUAACCGCUGAAAGCAUCUAAGUGGGAAGCCCACCUCAAGAUAAGUAUUCUC
rnacentral:rRNA from 1 species